rnacentral:rRNA from 1 species
GACGAACGCUGGCGGCGUGCUUAACACAUGCAAGUCGAACGGAAAGGCCCUGCUUGCAGGGUACUCGAGUGGCGAACGGGUGAGUAACACGUGGGUGAUCUGCCCUGCACUUCGGGAUAAGCUUGGGAAACUGGGUCUAAUACCGGAUAGGAGCCAUCUUUAGUGUGGUGGUUGGAAAGUUUUUUCGGUGUAGGAUGAGCUCGCGGCCUAUCAGCUUGUUGGUGGGGUAAUGGCCUACCAAGGCGGCGACGGGUAGCCGGCCUGAGAGGGUGUACGGCCACAUUGGGACUGAGAUAAGGACCAGACUCCUACGGGAGGCAGCAGUGGGGAAUAUUGCACAAUGGGCGAAAGCCUGAUGCAGCGACGCCGCGUGGGGGAUGAAGGCCUUCGGGUUGUAAACUCCUUUCGCUAGGGACGAAGCUUUUUUGUGACGGUACAUAGAUAAGAAGCACCGGCUAACUACGUG